rnacentral:rRNA from 1 species
CAAUAGCGUAUAUUUAAGUUGCUGCAGUUAAAAAGCUCGUAGUUGGAUUUCGGGUGGGAAUGGCCGGUCCGCCGUUUCGGUGUGCACUUGCUACGCCCACCUUGCUGCCGGGGACGUGCUCUUGAGUUCACGCUCGGGACACGGAGUCGGCGAGGUUACUUUGAGUAAAUUAGAGUGUUCAAAGCAGGCCUACGCUCUGAAUACAUUAGCAUGGAAUAACACGAUAGGACUCUGGCCUAUCUUGUUGGUCUGUAGGACCGGAGUAAUGAUUAAGAGGGACAGUCGGGGGCAUUCGUAUUUCAUUGUCAGAGGUGAAAUUCUUGGAUUUAUGAAAGACGAACUUCUGCGAAAGCAUUUGCCAAGGAUGUUUUCAUUAA